GAGAUAGCAAGGCAGAUCUUUUAUUUUGUGAGCCAUUGUUGAGAUUUCAGACGCAAGAAUUCGGUUCUUGGUGAGUCUGAGUGACAGAAGGAAUGGAGAAACUCCUGGGCCUGCUCAUCGUUUGGCUGCAACUGGACUGGGUGAGCAGUAAACAGGAGGUGAUGCAGACUCCUGCAGUUCUGAGUGUCCCAGAAGGAGACAGCUUGGAUCUCAACUGCAGUUUCACGGACAGUGCUAUUUACUUCAUUCAGUGGUUUAGGCAGGAUCCUGGAAAAGGUCUCACGUCUCUGUUGUUAAUUCAGUCAAAUCAGAGAGUGGAAAGGAAUGGAAGACUUAAAGCCUCGUUGGAUAAAUCAUCAAGAUAUAGUACUUUAAACGUUGCAGAUUCUCAGCCUGCUGACUCAGCCACCUACUUCUGUGCUGUGAGGCACAGUGCAUGA